rnacentral:rRNA from 1 species
CCUACGGGAGGCAGCAGUGGGGAAUAUGCACAAUGGCGAAAGCUGAUCCAGCAACGCCGCGUGAGGGACGACGGCUUCGGGUGUAAACUCUUUGUCAGGGAAGAAGCGAAAGUGACGGUACCUGAAGAAAAAGCACCGGCUAACUACGUGCCAGCAGCCGCGGUAAUACGUAGGGUGCAAGCGUGUCCGGGAAUUAUUGGGCGUAAAGAGCUCGUAGGCGGUCUGUCGCGUCUGCUGUGAAAACCCGAGGCUCAACCUCGGGCUGCAGUGGGUACGGGCAGACUAGAGUGCGGUAGGGGAGAUUGGAAUUCCUGGUGUAGCGGUGGAAUGCGCAGAUAUCAGGAGGAACACCGAUGGCGAAGGCAGAUCUCUGGGCCGUAACUGACGCUGAGGAGCGAAAGCGUGGGGAGCGAACAGGAUUAGAUACCCUGGUAGUCCACGCCGUAAACGUUGGGAACUAGAUGUGGGGUCCAUUCCACGGAUUCCGUGUCGCAGCUAACGCAUUAAGUUCCCCGCCUGGGGAGUACGGCCGCAAGGCUAAAACUCAAAGGAAUUGACGGGGGCCCGCACAAGCGGCGGAGCAUGCGGAUUAAUUCGAUGCAACGCGAAGAACCUUACCAAGGCUUGACAUACACCGGAAACGGCCAGAAAUGGUCGCCCCGCAAGGUCGGUGUACAGGUGGUGCAUGGUUGUCGUCAGCUCGUGUCGUGAGAUGUUGGGUUAAGUCCCGCAACGAGCGCAACCCUCGUUCUAUGUUGCCAGCGGGUUAUGCCGGGAACUCAUAGGAGACUGCCGGGGUCAACUCGGAGGAAGGUGGGGAUGACGUCAAAUCAUCAUGCCCCUUAUGUCUUGGGCUUCACGCAUGCUACAAUGGCCGGUACAAAGGGCUGCAAUACCGCGAGGUGGAGCGAAUCCCAGAAAGCCGGUCUCAGUUCGGAUUGAGGUCUGCAACUCGACCUCAUGAAGUCGGAGUCGCUAGUAAUCGCAGAUCAGCAACGCCGCGGUGAAUACGUUCCCGGG